rnacentral:rRNA from 1 species
UACGUAGGGUGCGAGCGUUAAUCGGAAUUACUGGGCGUAAAGUGUGCGCAGGCGGCCGAGCAAGUCGAGUGUGAAAGCCCCGGGCUUAACUUGGGAAUUGCGCUCGAAACUACUUGGCUGGAGUGUGGCAGAGGAAGGUGGAAUUCCAGGUGUAGCGGUGAAAUGCGUAGAGAUCUGGAGGAACACCGAUGGCGAAGGCGGCCAUCUGGACCGCAACUGACGCUGAGGCGCGAAAGCGUGGGAGCAAACAGG